GGAUUGAACGCUAGCGGGAUGCUUUACACAUGCAAGUCGAACGGCAGCGCGGACUUCGGUCUGGCGGCGAGUGGCGAACGGGUGAGUAAUAUAUCGGAACGUGCCCAGUAGCGGGGGAUAACUACGCGAAAGCGUGGCUAAUACCGCAUACGCCCGUGGCGGGGGAAAGGGGGGGAUUCUUCGGAACCUCUCACUAUUGGAGCGGCCGAUAUCAGAUUAGCUAGUUGGUGAGGUAAGGCUCACCAAGGCGACGAUCUGUAGCUGGUUUGAGAGGACGACCAGCCACACGUGGG
rnacentral:rRNA from 1 species